AAGCACAAGGGAAUUAAGCGCUUCAAGAGAGUAAUAGGGCACUUUCGGAGCAAGUCCUCUGCUCCCCUGAUAGUUGUCGCUCUUUAAAAAGAAAAAACAAAGUUGCAAACGAGGAACUUGCGCUACCAUGGAUGUAAUUGGGAAGUGCUUGAUAGUGUAAGCUAUACGAACCGACUGGCAACAGGCAAAGAUAUUGAAGAUGAGAUUUCAACGAGCGUUUCAAUAUAAGAAUAUUGGAUGUGCUAAACUAGAAGCUGAGAUCAAUACUAGAAAGCCUCCCGCUGCAUAAUAUUAAGUUUUUUUUCCCCAUGGAAGACAAUACUCUUGAGCAUCUUCAAUUAUUUAUAGAGGAAAGCUGUUGUAUCGUGUAGAAGUAGACAUGAGUAGUGAUGUUGCACACUGUUCAUGUGCAAUUGCCUAGUUCAGUUUCUGAUGCUUCUUGUUUGUGAUGGAUUCUGCAGACCCGUGUUCUCUAGAUUUUUUUUAUCUUUCACAAUCAGGAUAUACAAAUGUUCAAUUAUUAAUGAUCCCAGUGCUUUCAUUGAGAGCAGUCGGCAGCUAAACGAGGUUAUAUUGUGCUAGCUUGUAUCGUAUGACAGCUAUAACCAAGGGAUGACCAGAGGUAGGAUAUGUAGUUCUGAAACAAAAGAUCUCCAGGAUUUGAUUAUUGAACAUGGCAAGGAAACUAUUCUUAGAGAACAGCUAUAAGCGUAUCACCAUAGAAAGAACUAUAUAGAAUUAGUUAGGAAGGGAGAGCAAGAGUGCUUGAGUAAAACCUGCUCGUGAAUUGAUGUAUGAAAGAGGCAAUGCUCAUAACUAAGUCUUGAUGAAACAUGUACAGAGCUCCCAAUUUUGAAA